GACGAACCGUACGAACGUUAUUCGGAAUCACUGGGCUUAAAGGGUGCGUAGGCUGCGCGGAAAGUUGGGUGUGAAAUCCCUCGGCUCAACCGAGGAACUGCGCCCAAAACUGCCGUGCUCGAGGGAGACAGAGGUGAGCGGAACUUAGGGUGGAGCGGCGAAAUGCGUUGAUAUCCUAAGGAACACCGGUGGCGAAAGCGGCUCACUGGGUCUCUUCUGACGCUGAGGCACGAAAGCUAGGGUAGCGAACGGG
rnacentral:rRNA from 1 species